GACGAACGCUGGCGGCGUGCUUAACACAUGCAAGUCGAACGGAAAGGCCCUGCUUUUGUGGGGUGCUCGAGUGGCGAACGGGUGAGUAACACGUGAGUAACCUGCCCUUGACUUUGGGAUAACUUCAGGAAACUGGGGCUAAUACCGGAUAGGAGCUCCUGCUGCACGGUGGGGGUUGGAAAGAUUCGGCGGUUGGGGAUGGACUCGCGGCUUAUCAGCUUGUUGGUGAGGUAGUGGCUUACCAAGGCUUUGACGGGUAGCCGGCCUGAGAGGGUGACCGGCCACAAUGGGACUGAGAUACGGCCCAGACUCCUACGGGAGGCAGCAGUGGGGAAUAUUGCACAAUGGGCGGAAGCCUGAUGCAGCAACGCCGCGUGCGGGAUAACGGCCUUCGGGUUGUAAACCGCUUUCGCCGGUGACGAAGCGUGAGUGACGGUAAUGGGUAAAGAAGCACCGGCUAACUACGUG
rnacentral:rRNA from 1 species